ensembl:snRNA U4 U4 spliceosomal RNA
AGCUUUGCGCAGUGGCAAUAUCGUAGCCAGUGAGGUUUAUCUGAGGCACACUUACUGCUGAUUAAAAAUGAAGUUCAUCUAUCAAGAGGAAAACCAAUGCUGAUUUCCUCUGUGAAAGUGC